rnacentral:misc_RNA from 1 species
CCUCCCCAGCCUCAAGAGAAUCCUAAAUCAAGAUAAAAGCCCAAUUUUUGUUAUGAUCUUCAGCUACAUAUUGGGGUAAUUCUUCAACCAAGGACAUUCAACAUCUUGGAUACACCUUGGUCUGGGUUAGUUCUAGCUGCCUUCAAACCAGAAUAUUGAUGGUCAGUUUGGCUUUUGCAUAGUUGACUGAAACCAAACCCAUUAUUGGGAACCGACCCGACCCGACCCGACCCGACAAGACGAGAAUUUAGAUCAGGAUUGGGUCAAUUCUUUCAAGAUACUAUAAAGGCUCCAAUCCAUGGGAACCCAUAAAAAAUGUUAGAUAUUACUAUUUUAAGAUUUUAAAUGGAUGAAAUCAUAUAAAAUAAUUGAAUUAUUUGAAUUUGUAUGCAAAAGCACCCCUAUUAUAUGCUCAUGUUGGAUGGUUUUUGUUUAACUCCAGGAUUACAUCCAAAUUAAUAACAACAUGAAAGUACAGAAGCAAAACACUGCAGAUGAAUUUAGAAAAUCACCAACCUCAGACUCCAGGGCUUCAAGCA